rnacentral:tRNA from 2 species
GGGCUCGUGGCUUAGCUUGGAUAAAGCACCGGCCUUCUAAGCCGGGGAUCGCGGGUUCGAAUCCCGCCGAGUCCGC